AGUGAACGCUGGCGGUAGGCCUAACACAUGCAAGUCGAACGGCAGCACAGUAAGAGCUUGCUCUUACGGGUGGCGAGUGGCGGACGGGUGAGGAAUACAUCGGAAUCUACUUUUUCGUGGGGGAUAAUGUAGGGAAACUUACGCUAAUACCGCAUACGACCUACGGGUGAAAGCAGGGGAUCUUCGGACCUUGCGCGAUUGAAUGAGCCGAUGUCGGAUUAGCUAGUUGGCGGGGUAAAGGCCCACCAAGGCGACGAUCCGUAGCUGGUCUGAGAGGAUGAUCAGCCACACUGGAACUGAGACACGGUCCAGACUCCUACGGGAGGCGGCAGUAGGGAAUAUUGGACAAUGGGCGCAAGCCUGAUCCAGCCAUACCGCGUGGGUGAAGAAGGCCUUCGGGUUGUAAAGCCCUUUUGUUGGGAAAGAAAAGCAGCAGGUUAAUACCCCGCUGUUCUGACGGUACCCAAAGAAUAAGCACCGGCUAACUUCGUG
rnacentral:rRNA from 1 species